rnacentral:ncRNA from 1 species
UAAAACUUGGCUCUGAUUUACUUGUAUAGCGAAGACUAAAAAAUACACAUGGUUUUUUUAGAGUGAGGCGAGGUGGAGAAUAUAUAUUUUACAAUAUAGAAAAUAUUUAAGGUAUUUUCUCCUAAGUAUUAUUUUUAAACAAGAUGCUUUGAAAAGUCCCGUUAACACCAGUGCUAAAGAUUAAGUAAAGAGCGAAAGCUUGUCUUAGUUAAGUUCACUAUAUCUGGUUAAUUUAGUGCCAGCAUCCGCGGUUAUACUAAAAGAUAAAGUUAUACAUGAAAAAGGUUUAAAAGGCAGUUAGAUAAUAACAAAUAGAGUAUAUUAAUCAUUUAUAAAGAGGUAAAAUUUGCAUAUAAAAUGAUAAUUCAAAGAUUGCUCUAAGAUUGAAUCUGCGACAGCCUUGGGGGAAACUGGGAUUAGAUACCCCAUUAUUCUUGGUUAUAAAUUAAUAUAAAUUUACCAGAGUACUACAAAUAUAUAACUUAAAAUUUAAAACUCAAAGAGCUUGGCGGUGUUUUAGACUCUUCAGGGGAACCUGUCUCUUAAUCGAUAAUCCACGCUAUACCCAACCUUUUGUGGUAAAUCAGUUUGUAUACCGUCGUCGACAGGUAGCUUUUAAAAAUACAGAAGUUAGCAAUGAGAAUCUUUUAGUUAGGACGUCAGAUCAAGGUGCAGCUCAUAAGAAGGUGAGGAUGGGUUACAAUUAUUUAAUUAUAACUACGGAUAAACAAGGGAACUUUUGUUUGGAAGGAGGACUUGAAAGUAAAAAAGAUUAUAUAAAUAUUUUGAAUACAGCUCUGAAACGUGCACACAUCGCCCGUCGCUCUCGUUGAAAAAUGAGAUAAGUCGUAACAUAGCAGAGGUAAUGGAAAUUGUCUCUAAAUU